CUUCCUAGCUUAAUACCCUCCUCAAUGCCCAGCCCAGACCUGCCUUUCACGUCCCUAGCUGUAUUCACUCUCCCUGGCGACCGGGCGGCGUAGAAUCGGCGGCCAGCAGUGCUUUAGACACAGGUUAAGUGUCUGCCCCUCCCUCCAGGGUUACGCACCACCCCGAUGCAUACUGGGAUUGUAGUUCUGAAGCUACCUACCCAUGGGCUGAGAGCAGUAAAGAGACUACAACUCCCAGCAUACCAGGCGCGGCGCGCACCGCCCUGCCCCUUCCUCUGGGGUUGCGAACAGCCCCCGAGCCUGGUACAGGCUGGGAUUGUAGUCCUGCAGCCUUGUGGCCGAAGGGCUGGGACUGGCCAUGAGAUUACAUGUCCUAGCAUGCUCAGCCAGGCGCGCGCAGCUCUGCCCCUUCCUCCAGUGAUGCGCACAGUCCCUGAUCCCUGUGCAUGCUGGGAUUGUAGUCCUGCAGCCCUGCGAUCACUUGCCGGUAACAAGAAAUUUCAGCUCCCGGCAUGGUGGGCGAAGGCCCCCACCUUCAGCCUCGCUCCUCCAUGCCUUCAGAGCAGUUCCGCCAUGCAGAGGGGGAGACUGCCUGUUCUUUAACCUCUCCUACCUGAUGGGAGAGGACAAGCUACCAGGGCAGCUUGUCUCACCAAGAAACUGUGAUACUGCAUCCCCCAACGUGCUGGCUUCCUGACUUCCAAAGUUGCGGCAAGGUAAGAAGAACUACAGAGGAAGAACCUACUGCAGAUGUUUCCCAGGAGACUUUAAUUGAAGUAUCAGCAAAACUGAAAGGUAACGAGAGAAUCUUGUGCCUCUGAGGGUGUCUUUCCCAUGGAUCCCUGCUCAGUUGCCUUUCACGGGCCCCCUGAUUUGCGUGAACUCCUGACCUCAGAUGAUCCACCUGCCUUGGCCCUCCAAAGUGCUGGAAUUAUAGGCAUGAGCCACCGUGCCUGGCCUGUUCCAUGCAUUAAAAAAAAAUUAAAAAAUUAAAAAAAAUCAGUGAGAACAAGAAGAAAUGUAAAUGCUGGGCUUUUCAUAUAAAUCCAGGGAAUUAUGGGACAGUUAGUACCCACCUCCCAGGGUAUUAUGAGGAUAAAUUCAUGUCAUCUUCCCACCACAGUGCUCUGUAGCGUGCUUCUGAGCACACAGAGCAUGCUCCAUAAACAUUGCAUUAACGCAUGUGUGCAUGUUGUUUUCCAAAUGCAGACUUACUCAGACAUGAGCUGCCUUCUCCAGCCUCUGUAAAGUUUAAAGGACCAGCAGAGUAUGCCAUGUUUUAGGAUAGUGAUUGGUGGUUUUUAUUUUGGACUGAAAGCAUUUAUGUUGUGAGAAGAGUAUGGGUUUAAGGAACUGUGUGCUGUGGCACUUUGUCUAGUUGAGUGCUGCUAUAAGUGAUCUAGGGCAAGUAGGGUCAGCAUUAGCUGUGAAUGAAGCCAAUCCAUGGACCCCUUUCAAACCUGCAGAAUUGGCCAGGCAUGGUGGCUCAUGCCUGUAAUCCCAGCACUUUGGGAGGCCGAGGCGGGUGGAUCACUUGAGGUCAGGAGGUCGAGACCAGCCUGACCAAUAUGGAGAAACCCCGUCUCUACUAAAAAAUACAAAAUUAGCCGGGUGUGGUGGCACAUGCCUGUAAUACCAGCUACUCGGGAGGCUGAGGAAGGAGAAUUGCUUGAACCUGGGAGGUGGAGCUUGCGGUGAGCUGAGAUUGCGUGCCAUUGCACUCCAGCUUGGGCAAGAAGAGCAAAACUCCAUCUCAAAAAAAAAAAAGAAAAAGAAAAAAAGGGAAAAAAGAAAACAUUAAAUGCAGCAAGAUGCAGGUCAGAGCAUACCUCCAUUUGUGUGCUCUUGUGGACAAAAUUUAAAUGGCAAAUAAGAUUUUGCAUUUAUUGACGUUUUUCUUUACAUUGCUAUAAGUACAAAUACCCAUUUAUCCUUUGACCUCCUAUAUCUUUAUUCUGUAUGCAUAUAAAAAAAAUGCUAGAUCUGUAUCUAGAUUAUACAUGGGUAAACACAACAUAUAGAAUUAUAUGACUUUGCCUAUGUAGAUAUUUAUGUAUACAAUAGAUAUUAAUCAACAUUUUAAAUUCCCCAGCCUACACUGAGGAUGCAGAUAUAAACUUACUCUCAUCUAUAUGGAUCCAUACCAUCUCAGACUGGAACACAGCCAUACAAUGUUAUGUUUAAACAUCAAUAAAGCUUCACAUAUAGGUGCAUGGCCUGGGAAGUAUGUUUUUGGUAAAGCCAUCUUAGACUCUAGUUCCAGCUUAGCAUUUCAGGGCCCUGCUUCCUUUCUCACUGUAUGCCUGUGAUUCACAUUUGCCAUUUGGGUCGAUUGACUUAUAUCCAUCUAAGCUGAUCUAAGUGGUUUAUUAAACUCAUCUGGGCUGCAGAAGUUGAGAAGGAAAGCGACCUCUGACCUACUUAUUCUGAGGCUUGUCUACAGGACAUAUGCAAUAAUGGGAAUUACAUUGACAUACCUAUGUUACCCAUUUUCUGUUUUUUUUUUUUUGAGAUGGAGUUUCACUCUUGUUGGCCAGGAUGGAGUGCAAUGGUGCAAUAUCAGCUCACUGCAACCUCUGCCUCCUGGGUACAAGCGAUUCUCCUACCUCAGCCUCCCGAGUAGCUGGGAUUACAGGCACCUGCCACCACACCUGGCUAAUUUUUUGUAUUUUUACUAGAGAUGGGGUUUCACCAUGUUGGCCAGGCUGGUCUCGAACUCCUGACCACAGGUGAUCCACCCACCUCGGCCUCCCAAAGUGCUGGGAUUACAGGCAUGAGCCACCGUGCCUGGCCUUUCUGUGUAUAUGUUUAUCUAGCCACCGAUAUCAUAUCUAUAUGUAUAAAAAAGACCACCAAAGCACUCAGAGGUGAUUUUUAUUUUCCAUUCAGGCCAAGUAAAUCCAAUCAGCCAUUAGCUCAGUGAAGAUUUGUCAAAUCCAAGCCACACACCAAAUCACGUUAUACUAAAUGUGAAAAUGUUCUCAUUACUGGGCACCAAGGUGUUUUAAAUUCAGAGUCUAAUCAAAAUAGCCCAUGUGGUUCUGUCCAUCCAGCUAGGACGCUUCAGACAUACCAGUGGGCCUAACCUUUUUCACAAGGAGCUCUGGCCUGGCCAACAAGAAUCACCUUUGGUGCUUCAGUGCAGUGUCACCAUCACCUGUUUGAAAUGCAGCCAGGUAACAUGUACCAUUUUAUUUGCUUUCAGUAUCACCGUCUAUCUUCGAAAUGCAGCCAGGUAACAUGUACCAUUUUAUUUGCUUUCAGUAUCACAGCCUAUCUUCUAAUAAGAAACGUAGGCCUCUGGCUGGGUGUGGUGGCUUACACCUGUAACCCAGCACUUUGAGAGGCUGAGGUGGGUGGAUCACUUGAGGUCAGGAGUUCGAGACCACCCUGGCCAACAUGGUGAAACUCCCAUCUCUACUAAAAAUAUUAAAAUUAGCUGGGCAUGGUGGCAUGUGCCUCUAAUCCCAGGUACUAGGGAGGCUGAGGCAGGAGAUCACUUAAACCUGGGAGGCGGAGGUUGCAGUGAGCUGCGAUGAUGCCACUGUACUCCAGCCUGGGCAACAGGAGUGAAACUCCAUCUCAAAAAAAAAAAAAAAGGAAUUUUUUUUUUUUUUUUUCUGUGCUGGGUUUACUUAGCAUACCUUUCAGAUUCAUGAAUGUUGCAAAUAACAAGACUUUAUUUUUAAGGGCUGAAUGGCAUUUCAUUGUGUAUAUAUACAUUUUCUUUCUCCAUUCACCUACUGAUGAACACUCAGGUUGAUUCCAUACCUUAGUUAUUAUCAGUAAUCCACUUCCUUCCCUUUCAUUUGUGUUUGUUUUGUUUUGUUUGAGAUGGAGUCUCAUUCUGUCACCCAAGCUGGAGUGCAGUGGCGCGGUCUUGGCUAACAGCAACCUCCGCCUCCCAGGUUCAAGCAAUUCUCCUGCCUCAGCCUCUCGAGUAGCUGGGAUUACAGGCACACACCACCACGCCCAGGUAAUUUUGUAUUUUUAGUAGACAUGGGGUUUCUCCAUGUUGGUAAGGCUGAUCUCCAACUCCCGACCUCAGGUGAUCCACCUGCCUCUGCCUCUCAAAGUGCUGGAAUUACAGGCUUAAGCUACCAUGCCUGGCCAAAAGCCUAGGUUUCUUUCUAUGUAAGCCUAGGUUUAUUUCUAUGUAAGCCUAGGUUUAUUUCUAUGUAAGCCUAGAUUUAUUUCUAUGUAAAGUAUAAAAGAAAUUUAAACUCAUAGAAGCAGAGAGUACAAUAAUGAAAAAAAAAAUCUCCUAUGGGGUUUUUUGUCUGAUUGAGAGCUUCUUCAUGAUCUUUCAGGGAUUGUAUUUUCUUUCAUCUUCUGCAUCCUCCUGUUUUUUAGCCAAUGGAUGAAAAAAGAUACAGAGAAGACACAUUUGCUUUUAUCCACUGCACUUCCACUCACUAUUAGUCAUUGUGGAUACAGCUGAGAAUAGCAGUUUUCUGGCAGGACAGCCACUUCUCAGUAAUAAACAACUGAAAAAGUAUAAAUGUGUCAUAAAAAGCUAAUGGAUUUUAAGAAAAACAAGCAUAGGCAUCAAUAAUGUUUGUGGUAAAUAAAGAUUCAUAUUGUUGAUUUCUAUUGAGCUCCCGUAAUAUUUGAUAAAAGCUUGCAAAUAUACAGCAGAAAAGGAGUAUUAUUCUAAAUCAGAAUAUUGUUAUGGCUAUUUUGUCAAUAGAAGUCAAUAUCCAAUAUACAGAAUGGUUAUUUUGUCAAUGUAAGUAAAAAUAUGACUUCACACUAAUAGUCUCACCAAUAGUUGUAAUCAAAUGCUAUUUUUUAUUUAAAAUUUUAUUUCAUAUAAGUAAUCCCAGCACUUUGGGAGGCCCAGGCGGGCAGAUCAUGAGGUCAAGAGAUCGAGACCAUCCUUGCCAACAUGGUGACAGCCCAUCCCUACUAAAAAUACAAAAAUUAGCUAAGCAUGGUGGCACAUGCCUGUAGUCCCAGCUAUUCGGGAGGCUGAGGUAGGAGAACCACUCGAUCCCGGGAGCUGAGAUCAUGCCACUGCACUCCAGCCUGGGGACAGAGCAAGACUCCAUCUCAAAAAAAAAAAAGGUCUAUAUGUUUGCAGACAGACCAGAUGUUCAAAGAAAACUAUAUAAUAAACAUUUACUAAUACAUUUUUCAGGAUUCAGAAAUACAUGGAUUCUAUUUCUAUUUCUUUCUCUUUUUUUUUGAAAUAGAGUCUUGCUCUGUUGCCCAGACUGGAAUGCAGCGGCAUGAUCUCAGCUCACUGCAACCUCCACCUCCGGGGUUCAAGCGAUUCUCUCCUGCCUCAGCCUCCAGGUGUGUGCCACCAUGUCUGGCUAAUUUUUGUAUUUUUAGUAGAGCUGGGUGUUGGGGUUCAAUCAGGCUGGUGGGAAAAAUAUUUAAAAGAGUAACAGUCAAAAGCUCUCCUAAAAGGCCUGAGAGUUUGCAUAGCUUGAUUGCUUGGCUGAAGGCAGCCAGGGUCUCUUUGCAGGAGGCCAGGAAGAUUAGGGUGCAAGUAAAAAGGAAUGUAGGAAGUUUAUCUUACUAACCUGUUUAGUUAUAUGGGCUUAAGACUAACUUGUCCUGCUGAGGGUACUUUACUGCCGCCUACUCGGGGGUCCGCAGUUUAUUACCCACAAAUGGUGUUGGCUUUAGGCCUGGGAACCUGGCCUUUAAUUUUACCCUCUAGUGGUGUUUACUCACAACUUUUGUUAAUUAGUCUUACUGAAUAAAUGCAAGCCUCACUAUCUGAUCAGAGCCAAGUUGCAACUGUUUACAGAACUCACCUUGGAGCCUGUAAGCAGCUCAGACCCUCAGCUGGACUGGCAGAGCAGAAAUGUGUGUCAGUGUACUUUAUUAAUCCACAGCGAGUGCCCCCGCGAAAGGAGCGCUGCCUCAGACGGGGUUUCACUAUGUUGGCCAGGAUGGUCUUGAACUCCUGACCUCAGACAAUCCACCUGCCUUGGAAAGUGCUGGGAUUACACGCCUGAGCCACUGCACCUGGCCAUAUUUUAUUUAUUUUUCUGUAUAAUUUUUAUUAUGACCAUAAAAAUAAACCUGUAGUCAGUAACAAUUUAAUUGUACAUUUUAAAAUAAUUAAAAAUGUAUAAUUACACUGUAAUUCAAAGGAUAAAUGCUAGAGGUGAUGGAUACCUUAUUUACCCUAAUGUAAUUACUACAUAUUGUAGGCCUGAAUCAAAAUAUGCCAUAUAAGGCAUAAAGAUAUACACAUACUGUAUACCCACAAAUACUAGUAAUAGAUUUCAAUAAGAAAAAAAAAUUUAACCUAUGGGAACAAUUCUUCAACUCAUUUGCAGUUUAAAGCCACUGGCAAAGUGACGAGUAGAGAUGUUAUUCCACUAUGUACCAAACAGUAUAUUGUUACCAUCUUUUAAGUACACCCUUGAUUAAGGUGGGAUAGGUUAAAGUUAGUGGCAUAAUGGCCAGGUGCGGUGGCUCACGCCUGUAAUCCCAGCACUUUGGGAGGCCGAGGUGGGCGGAUCACAAGGUCAGGAGAUUGACCAUCCUGGCUAACACAGUGAAACCCCAUCUCUACUAAAAAUACAAAAAAAUUAGCCGGGCAUGGUGGCGGGUGCCUAUAGUCCCAGCUACUCAGGAAGCUGAGGCAGGAGAAUGGUGUGAACCUGGGAGGUGGAGGUUGCAGUGAGCCGAGAUCGCGCCACAGCGCUCCAGCCUGGGUGAAAGACCGAGACUCCAUCUCAAAAAAAAAGAAAAAAAGUUAGUGGCAUAAUAAUGCUUCAUUAAACGCAGAAUAGUCUUAACAUGGUAUAAAAAAUGAAAUUAAGUUCACACAUCAUCUAACAAUUUUUAAAUAUACUGCAUUCGAUUACAUAAAAGUACAAUUAGUAAAAUAAUAUUCUCAUUUAAUACUUUUAACUGUAAUUUUUCUCACUAUAAUGUAGAAAACUAUUACUCUGAACCCCCACUUUUUAAAAAUCUUUAUUAAUAAAGUAAUUCAUUAUAAUUUUUGAAAAAAAAAAGUUUUAAAAUGGUCUGCCAACAUGUUAAUGUAGGUUAGGCCACCCAAAAGACAAAGCAAAACAUCAACAUUAAGUCAUAGGCUAGGAUUAUACAAAUGAGAACCCCCACCUUAUACAUUACUUAAUAUAAGUUAACUACAAAGAGCCUCUCCACUUACAUUUUUAUCAUGCAUCUUACAUUUUAAUGUCCUUAUUCUUUUAUAGAAAAGGUCAUAAUACCCAAUAAAAGAGAAUCUGUAAUAUCCCUGAUGCAGCAACACUUGAUCACAUGCUUUCACAUGUGACCACAAUAGGAAUAAAAUAACAGCAUAAAGAAUUUGAAAGUUGUAUUACAUCAUUAUUCACUGUUCAAAAAUUUUUUUCAAGAAACAAGUACACUUUCAAUGAAAUUACAAUGCUUCAGAAAAUCUCCCUUUUAAAGUUAUAUACAAAAACAGCUUUAGUUGUGGAUUCAUUUUUAUACUCAAUACUCUGAUUUAGUGUAAUGUCUGAAGUGUCAGUGCCUUAUUCUAGUGUAAAUUCUCAUAUUUACAUAAAAUCAAUUUUGAAUUAUUUUUUUCAUAUUUACAUCUGCAAAAAUAUACUUUAGUAUAAACUCUCUGAUGUUUUCUAAGCUAUAGAUUUUGAAAAAAAAAAGUCUUUCAAAAUUCAUUAUAUUUGCAGGACUCUUCUCCAAUAUAAAUUCCAUGAUGUUGAAUAAAGCUGGAGCAACUGCUUCAGGGUUUUCCUCUAGUACACAAUGUGUGCAACAAGAUCUGGGAUACAAGUAAAGGUACUACAACCCCCCCUUAUAUUUGUAAUAGCUGAUUUCAGAAUAAAUAUUCUUCUUUAAA